rnacentral:rRNA from 1 species
AAUUACCCACUCCCAGCACGGGGAGGUAGUGACGAAAAAUAACGAUACGGGACUCAUCCGAGGCCCCGUAAUCGGAAUGAGUACACUUUAAAACUUUUCCCGAGGAUCAAUUGGAGGGUAAGUCUGGUGCCAGCAGCCGCGGUAAUUCCAGCUCCAAUAGCGUAUAUUAAAGUUGUUGCGGUUAAAAAGCUCGUAGUCGAAUCUGUGUCCCGCGCCGCUGGUUCAUCGCUCGCGGUGUUUAACUGGCGUGUCUCGCGGGACGUCCUGCCGGUGGGCGCUCGUAUCGCUUCGGUGGUGCGUGGCCCAACUCGUAGCCGUCUCGCGCGGUUGCGAAUCCCAUCGCGGUGCUCUUUAUUGAGUGUCGAGGUGGGCCGGCACGUUUACUUUGAACAAAUUAGAGUGCUUAAAGCAGGCCAAUUUUGCCUGAAUAUUGUGUGCAUGGAAUAAUGGAAUAGGACCUCGGUUCUAUUUUGUUGGUUUUCGGAACCCCGAGGUAAUGAUUAAUAGGAACGGAUGGGGGCAUUCGUAUUGCGACGUUAGAGGUGAAAUUCUUGGAUCGUCGCAGGACGGACAGAAGCGAAAGCAUUUGCCAAAAACGCUUUCAUUGAUCAAGAACGAAAGUUAGAGGUUCGAAGGCGAUCAGAUACCGCCCUAGUUCUAACCAUAAACGAUGCCAGCUAGCGAUCCGCCGACGUUCCUCCGAUGACUCGGCGGGCAGCUUCCGGGAAACCAAAGCUUUUGGGUUCCGGGGGAAGUAUGGUUGCAAAGCUGAAACUUAAAGGAAUUGACGGAAGGGCACCACCAGGAGUGGAGCCUGCGGCUUAAUUUGACUCAACACGGGACACCUCACCAGGCCCGGACACCGGAAGGAUUGACAGAUUGAUAGCUCUUUCUUGAUUCGGUGGGUGGUGGUGCAUGGCCGUU